UAUUAUAAUAUUUUGACGUAAUAAAGACGAAGUCAUUUCAAAAAAAAUGUUGGCAUACGGCAAGCAAAUUUUACUCACACGACAGUAAAAGAAAUCAUUAUUUUGUUUAACUUGGUUUAAAUUUAUAAAAUGCAUACGUUUUUUAAUAUAAAGGUUAAUAAAAUUUAUCGGAUAUCGAUUCUGUAAAAGUAAUUCUUUAAUAAUUUUUAUAUUUUUUUGGUGAAAAUUUUGAUUUGAAAGUUUUAUGGACAUGUCAAUAUACCACUUGAUGAUUUAUUACACGCAGUGUCUUUUCUUUUUAAUAAUACUUUUUUUCAAUUCAAUAAUAAAUAUUAUAAACAAAUUUAUGGGACACCUAUGGGCUCACCUGUUUCAGGCCUUUUUGCGGAUUUAGUAAUGAAUGAUUUAGAAAUGAAUUGUUUGGGUGCAUUGUCGUUUAAACCGGUGUUCUAUUAUCGUUAUGUUGAUGAUACUAUUAUGUGCAUUCCGAGUGACAAAAUUUCCGAAACUUUGCCGAUUAUCAACUCUUAUGACGAAAGGUUACAAUUCAUAUAUGAAAUUGAAAACAAUAAUUCCAUUAGUUUUCUUGAUGUAUUACUUAUUAGGCAAAACAAUAUUUUGAUUACUGAUUGGUUUAUGAAACCUACUUAUUCUCGCACAUUUUUAAACUUUUUUUCUAAACAUCCAAUGUCACAAAAAAUUGUCAUUGUUUAUAAUUUAACUGACAGAGCCAUAAAACUUUCAAAUCAAAAUUUUCACCAAAAAAAUAUAAAAAUUAUUAAAGAAUUACUUUUACAGAAUGGAUAUCCGAUAAAUUUUAUUAACCUUUAUAUUAAAAAACGUAUGCAUUUUAUAAGUUUAAACCAAGUUAAACAAAAUAAUGAUUUCUUUUACUGUCGUGUGUGUAAAAUUUGCUUGCCGUAUGUCAACGACUUUUUUGAAAUAACUUCGUCUUUAUUACGUCAAAAUAAUAUAAUAACUAUUCCAUGUAACAUUAAUAACAAUCAACAUAUCAAAAAAGGCAAAGACUCAACCAAAAAAUAUGACUAAUCAAACUGUGUAUAUAAACUUUGUUGCAAUAAUUGUCCUGCGUGUUACAUUGGUGAAUCAAAAAGAAUGGUUAAAAAGAGAAUGAAUGAACACAUGAAAUCAAAAACCAAUGUGAUAUUUCAACAUAAGCGUGAUUUUAAGCACGAUUUUGAUUAUGAAAAUUUUUCUAUUCUUGAUAAUGAACCUGUGUGGCAGAAGAGAUUGAUUUCCGAAAUGAUUCAUAUUCACUUACAGAAACAAAUUUUAAAUAGAAAAGAUGACACAAAUAAUCUUAACCAAUAUUACAAAAACUUUUUCAAAAAAUUCAAAAUGUCACAAAAUUAACUUUUAAAACUUUAUUUCCUUUUAUAUUUCGAAAAUAAAUCUCUUCAUUUGCGUUUAUAUUUGUAUUAGUGCAUUAGAGUGUGUUUGUAUGUAUAUUCUUAUUAAUUGAUUCUAUUGUUUUCAUGUAAGUUCACUGACCUUUGAUUUUAUUAUAUUGCAAUGUACAAACACGUAUAUAUAUUUGUGUAUGUGUAUAUGUGUGUGUAUUUAUUUAUAUUCAUCAAUUAAUUGUUUGUAAUUCCUUCAGUCAAUCGAACGUUCUUGUGUUCAUCACACGGAAAAUCGAAAUUUCUAAUGGUGGUAGGCCGUAAGCGUGACUGUCCUUUUCGCACUCGCAGAUUGAUUCUGAGGCCAAUAUAUAUAUAUUACACCUGUAUUAGACCCUACGAAGGAUUACCACAAGCAAUACGAACCCUUGAACAAUAACCUUCGUAAAUGAGGGACACAGGUAAUAAUAUUUUCUUUCUUCCUUCAUCGCAAGGAAAACUAUAGAUAAAAGUAAAUAUAUAUGUAUAUAUAUAUAUAUAUAUAUAUAUAUAUUUACUUUCAUAAUUGAAACACAAAAGGUAACGCCUGGGUAACGGCGCCAGUAACGCCGGCUCUGGUUUCUCUCUUUCUAAAGGCAAUAUAAAUAAGAAUGUCUCUCUUUACCUAAUUUGCAUAUCUACUCGUUUCAUAUUAAGGAUCAAAUGGUUUGUUUGUUCAUUUUGUUUGUAGCUCAUUGUUUCACAUUUUAAUUCAAAUUCCGGCCGGCCACCUAAGGAAUUCCAACUUUUCCAAAAUAAGAACCACCCUAAUAAUUAUGUAUAUUUAAGACUUUUAGACUCGAUUUCUAAUUUCAAAGACUCAGGCCAAUAUUCGAGGUAAUAAUGUUUCACUACUUUCACGAAAGCAUAAUAUUAAUGAGAACAAAAGUGGGUCAAAGUAAAAUUAAAAAACUAAUACAAUUAAACAUUUAAUUUUUUGAAAACAGAAGUUUUAUUCCCAGAAAACAAUGCAUAAAGUCAACAUAAGGAAACUUGCAAGAAAAAAUAAAGAAAUUAUCUGCACUCUCCAUAUCUCCAACCUGAUUCUUUGUGACAAUAUCCAGAGUCACAGUUGCCCAAACUUCCGUCAGGUUGACACCGACCAUUUUUAGGUAUUGC